rnacentral:rRNA from 1 species
GAUGAACGCUAGCGGCAGGCCUAAUACAUGCAAGUCGAACGGUGUCUUCGGACAUAGUGGCGCACGGGUGCGUAACACGUAUGCAACCUACCUUACAUUGGGGGAUAGCCUUUCGAAAGGGAGAUUAAUACCGCAUAAGACAGUAGCUGGGCAUCCAGCAGCUGUUAAAGAUUUAUCGAUGUAAGCUGGGCAUGCGUCCAAUUAGCUAGUUGGGGAGGUAACGGCUCACCAAGGCAAUGAUUGGUAGGGGAACUGAGAGGUCAAUCCCCCACACUGGCACGAAGAUACGGGCCAGACUCCUACGGGAGGCAGCAGUAGGGAAUAUUGGGCAGUGGACGCAAGUCUGACCCAGCCAUGCCGCGUGCAGGAUGAAGGCGUUAUGCGUUGUAAACUGCUUUUAUACAGGAAGAAACGACUCUUGCGAGAGGCAUUGACGGUACUGUAUGAAUAAGCACCGGCUAACUCCGUGCCAGCCGCCGCUGUAACAC